rnacentral:rRNA from 1 species
GGUUAAAAAGCUCGUAGUUGGAUUUCUGUUGAGAAUGUCCAGUCCGCACAUUGUGCGAGUAUUUGGUACAGUCUUGGCAUCCUCCUGGGGAGCGUUGAUGUACUUGAUUGUAUGUUGCGUGAUUCAGGACUUUUACUUUGAGGAAAUUAGAGUGUUCACGGCAGGCGUUUGCCUUGAAUAUGUUAGCAUGGAAUAAUAAUAUAAGACCUCGGUUUUAUUUUGUUGGUUUCUAGAAGCGAGGUAAUGAUUAAUAGGGACAAUUGGGGGUAUUCGAAUUAACGCGUCAGAGGUGGAAUUCUUGGAUUGCGUUACGACGAACUACUGCGAAAGCAUUUACCAAGGAUGUUUUCAUUGAUCAAGAACGAAAGUCAGGGGAUCGAAGACGAUUAGAUACCGUCGUAGUCUUGACCAUAAACUAUGCCGACUAGAGAUUGGAGGUUCGCUCUUUUUACGGCUCCUUCAGCAUCUUAUGAGAAAUCAAAGUUUUUGGGUUCCGGGGGGAGUAUGGUCGCAAGGCUGAAACUUAAAGGAAUUGACGGAAGGGCACCACCAGGAGUGGAGCCUGCGGCUUAAUUUGACUCAACAC